rnacentral:rRNA from 1 species
CUAAACUGAGGAAUGUCGGCCGAAACUGAUCGACUCGAGGAACGUAGAGGGAAGCGGAACUCUCGGAGUAGCGGUGAAAUGCGUAGAGACCGAGAGGUACCCCGAUGGUGAAGACAGCUUCCUGGGCGUUUCCUGACGCUGAAGCGCUAAGGCCAGGGGAGCGAAGGGGAUUAGAUACCCCCGUAGUCCUGGCUUCAAACGACGUGGGCUUGGUGUCGGCCCCCUACAGAGGGUCGUUGCCGGAGCUAACGUGUUAAGCCCACCGCCUGGGGAUUACGUCCGCAAGGAUGAAACUCAAGGGAAUUGACGGGGGCCCACACAACCGGUGGAGCACGUGGUUUAAUUCGAUGAUAAGCGAAGAACCUUACCAGGGCUUGACCUAGCGGCAGUAGGACCCCGAAAGGGGAACGACCUCAAGCUUUGCUUGAGGAGCC